rnacentral:lncRNA from 10 species
UCUGGGAACGGCUGGUUUCGCGGUCAGACGCCGAGGGCCCUCGAAGUCCCUAGCAACGGCUGCGGAGGGAGAUGUGAAGACCAUUUAGGACUGAAAGGCAUGGCUGGCAAAGGACCUACAGCCCUGUAAUAGUGACAAUUAAGACUACUUAUCAAUGAAUUGUCAAUCUCUUGUCUCAGGAUGCAGGAUGGCUUUAAAGGAUACUGCUGGUGGGAAAUUGAGUCAUUGAAGACCCAGGGAACAGCAGAAGGAUAUAAGGAGUCCUUCAAGAAACAGCCACAGGAAACCUGCAUCUGAAUUUAUGAGAAGGCUGCUAUUCUGGACACCAUCCACCACAUCAACUCUAGGAAGAACCACUGAAGAAAUUUCCUGAGACCAAAGUGCCAUGAAAUAAUGGCAACCCCCAGGAAGUAAUCUGUUUUAUCUUCAAAAACAGGACAUACCAUGUAAACCACCUAGGUCCGUGCAGGUUACAAAUGGCAACCAGAACAGGGACUCCAAGCACGCCCAACUAGCAGCAUCCAAACAUGGGACUUCAAGGACGUGAAUGAAGAAGGUCUGCUGGAGCAGAGGAACUGAAAUUGACAAGGCGAAAGGGGACCCUGGGAAGAGUCUGCCGGCAGCAGAUAUAAGGAGGUGGAGAACUGGACACGCACAGCUGACCAAGCGAGGCUACUUCAGAAUAAAAUUAACACUGAGUUACAAACUGAAGUCUGUAAAAUCGGAUGGACCACCAAUUGGAGAAUGAGAGCCUCCCAGCCCAGCCUUACAUUCUUUCAAUUAAUACAUAAACAGAAAGGGGGAUAUGCAGGGAGCCAAAGGCCUGUGGGACGUGACCAACUCAGCAUUCUGCUGGAGGCUAUAUGAUCAAACAGCAAACUGUUUAUCAUGAAUACAGGAUGUGAGCAAACUCAGGACUGCUCCUGCCAACAUAAGGUUUGCUGGAGGCAAUCACUCCCUGGCACCGAGGUUAUCUACUGCGACAUCUAGAGAAUGCAGUCUUGCAAGCCUACUCUGAACUGAGCAGCCGACCCCUUCUUCCACCCCCCCACCCUCCUAUCUCUUUUGCCUAAUAAAUACGGAGGGCUGUGUAAAGCUCAGGGCCCUUGUCCACUAGAGGUAAGGUGCUCCCUGACCCCUUCUCCCA